GAACGGUGAAGGGAGCUUGCUCCCGGAACAGUGGCGGACGGGUGAGUAACACGUGAGCAACCUGCCUUUCAGAGGGGGACAACAGUUGGAAACGACUGCUAAUACCGCAUAAUGUAUUCUGAUGGCAUCAUCGGAAUACCAAAGGAGCAAUCCGCUGAAAGAUGGGCUCGCGUCUGAUUAGAUAGUUGGUGAGGUAACGGCUCACCAAGUCGACGAUCAGUAGCCGGACUGAGAGGUUGAACGGCCACAUUGGGACUGAGACACGGCCCAGACUCCUACGGGAGGCAGCAGUGGGGGAUAUUGGACAAUGGGGGAAACCCUGAUCCAGCGAUGCCGCGUGAGGGAAGAAGGUUUUCGGAUUGUAAACCUCUGUGGACAGGGACGAUAAUGACGGUACCUGUCAAGAAAGCCACGGCUAACUACGUGCCAGCAGCCGCGGUAAUACGUAGGUGGCGAGCGUUGUCCGGAAUUACUGGGUGUAAAGGGAGUGUAGGCGGGAAGGCAAGUCAGAAGUGAAAAUUAUGGGCUCAACCCAUAACCUGCUUUUGAAACUGUUUUUCUUGAGUGAAGCAGAGGCAAGCGGAAUUCCUAGUGUAGCGGUGAAAUGCGUAGAUAUUAGGAGGAACACCAGUGGCGAAGGCGGCUUGCUGGGCUUUUACUGACGCUGAGGCUCGAAAGCGUGG
rnacentral:rRNA from 1 species